GGGGGGAACCCUCAGUGGUGGAGUGCAUGUCUAGCAUGCGUGAGGUCCUGGGUUCAUGCCCCAGUACCUCCA
rnacentral:tRNA from 1 species